rnacentral:misc_RNA from 1 species
GUGAAUCAUCGAAUUUUUGAACGCAUAUUGCACUCUCUGGUAUUCCGGAGAGUAUGCCUAUUUGAGGAUCAUUUGAGAUAAUAUAAAUUUCGAGAGUUUCUUGAAAUCAAAAAUGGGACGGUCCAGCAUUCGUGUGGUGGUCGCCUAAAAUGCAAGACAAACUCAUUUCUUGAGUUGCGUGAUACGUUCAGUUACCUCGUGACGUCACAAAGAAUCUUUGGGCGUGUUAUGAAUUUUUCACGAUGUAAACUUCACUUAUCUCGAUCUCAAUAUUAAAUUGAAUCAUGACCUCAAAUUAGGU